GGUCAAGCGAAUAAGUGCAUGUGGUGGAUGCCUUGGCGAUCACAGGCGAUGAAGGACGUAGUAGCUUGCGAAAAGCUGCGGGGAGCUGGCAAACGAGCUUUGAUCCGCAGAUGUCCGAAUGGGGAAACCCGGCCCGUAUGGGUCAUCCCUUGCUGAAUACAUAGGCAAGGGAGGCGAACGCAGUAGAACUGAAACAUCUAAGUAGCUGCAGGAAAAGAAAUCAACCGAGAUUCCCAAAGUAGUGGCGAGCGAAAUGGGAACAGCCUUGUACUCUUUAGCAGUAUUGUUAGCGGAACGGAAUGGAAAGUCCGGCCAUAGUGGGUGAUAGCCCCGUACGCGAAAACAGUAUUGUGGAACUAGGUGUACGACAAGUAGGGCGGGACACGUGAAAUCCUGUCUGAAGAUGGGGGGACCAUCCUCCAAGGCUAAAUACUCGUGAUCGACCGAUAGUGAACCAGUACCGUGAGGGAAAGGCGAAAAGAACCCCGGGAGGGGAGUGAAAUAGAUCCUGAAACCGCAUGCAUACAAACAGUCGGAGCCUGGAAACGGGUGACGGCGUACCUUUUGUAUAAUGGGUCAGCGACUUACAUUCAGUGGCAAGCUUAACCGAUUAGGGAAGGCGUAGCGAAAGCGAGUCCGAAUAGGGCGUUCAGUCGCUGGGUGUAGACCCGAAACCAAGUGAUCUAUCCAUGGCCAGGUUGAAGGUGCGGUAACACGUACUGGAGGACCGAACCCACUAACGUUGAAAAGUUAGGGGAUGAGCUGUGGAUAGGGGUGAAAGGCUAAACAAACUUGGAAAUAGCUGGUUCUCUCCGAAAACUAUUUAGGUAGUGCCUCGUGUCUCACCUUCGGGGGUAGAGCACUGUCAUGGUUGGGGGGUCUAUUGCUGAUUACCCCGCCAUAGCAAACUCCGAAUACCGAAGAGUGCAAUCACGGGAGACAGACAUCGGGUGCUAACGUCCGGUGUCAAGAGGGAAACAACCCAGACCGCCAGCUAAGGUCCCUAAGAUUGGCUAAGUGGGAAACGAAGUGGGAAGGCUAAAACAGUCAGGAGGUUGGCUUAGAAGCAGCCACCCUUUAAAGAAAGCGUAAUAGCUCACUGAUCGAGUCGUCCUGCGCGGAAGAUGUAACGGGGCUAAGCCAGUUACCGAAGCUGCGGAUGCACGUAAGUGCAUGGUAGGAGAGCGUUCUGUAAGCCUGUGAAGGUGUCUUGUAAAGGAUGCUGGAGGUAUCAGAAGUGCGAAUGCUGACAUGAGUAGCGAUAAAGGGGGUGAAAGGCCCCCUCGCCGUAAGCCCAAGGUUUCCUACGCAACGUUCAUCGGCGUAGGGUGAGUCGGCCCCUAAGGCGAGGCAGAGAUGCGUAGCUGAUGGGAAGCAGGUUAAUAUUCCUGCACCGUCGUAUGAUGCGAUGGGGGGACGGAUCGCGGAAGGUUGUCCGGGUGUUGGAAGUCCCGGUCCCUACAUUGGAGAUGGCACUUAGGCAAAUCCGGGUGCGUGAUUCAAGGGUGUGGGGCGAGCGACGUUAGGUCGCGAACGAAUUGGAAGUGGUUCCAAGAAAAGCCUCUAAGCUUCAGUCAUACGAGACCGUACCGCAAACCGACACAGGUGGGCGAGAUGAGUAUUCUAAGGCGCUUGAGAGAACUCGGGAGAAGGAACUCGGCAAAUUGGUACCGUAACUUCGGGAUAAGGUACGCCCUUGUAGUUUGACUGGCUCGCGCCAGAAGGAUGAAGGGGUUGCAAUAAAAUGGUGGCUGCGACUGUUUAAUAAAAACACAGCACUCUGCAAACACGAAAGUGGACGUAUAGGGUGUGACGCCUGCCCGGUGCCGGAAGAUUAAAUGAUGGGGUGCAAGCUCUUGAUUGAAGUCCCGGUAAACGGCGGCCGUAACUAUAACGGUCCUAAGGUAGCGAAAUUCCUUGUCGGGUAAGUUCCGACCUGCACGAAUGGCGUAACGAUGGCCACACUGUCUCCUCCCGAGACUCAGCGAAGUUGAAGUGUUUGUGAUGAUGCAAUCUCCCCGCGGCUAGACGGAAAGACCCCAUGAACCUUUACUGUAGCUUUGCAUUGGACUUUGAACCGAUCUGUGUAGGAUAGGUGGGAGGCUUUGAAACCGGGACGCUAGUUUCGGUGGAGCCGACCUUGAAAUACCACCCUGGUUUGUUUGAGGUUCUAACCUUGGCCCGUGAAUCCGGGUCGGGGACAGUGCAUGGUAGGCAGUUUGACUGGGGCGGUCUCCUCCCAAAGUGUAACGGAGGAGUUCGAAGGUACGCUUGGUACGGUCGGACAUCGUACCUAAAGUGCAAUGGCAAAAGCGUGCUUAACUGCGAGACCGACAAGUCGAGCAGGUGCGAAAGCAGGACAUAGUGAUCCGGUGGUUCUGUAUGGAAGGGCCAUCGCUCAACGGAUAAAAGGUACUCUGGGGAUAACAGGCUGAUACCGCCCAAGAGUUCAUAUCGACGGCGGUGUUUGGCACCUCGAUGUCGGCUCAUCUCAUCCUGGGGCUGUAGCCGGUCCCAAGGGUAUGGCUGUUCGCCAUUUAAAGAGGUACGUGAGCUGGGUUUAAAACGUCGUGAGACAGUUUGGUCCCUAUCUGCCGUGGGCGUUGGAAUCUUGACGGGGGCUGCUCCUAGUACGAGAGGACCGGAGUGGACGUACCGCUGGUGUACCUGUUGUCUCGCCAGAGGCAUCGCAGGGUAGCUAUGUACGGAAGAGAUAACCGCUGAAAGCAUCUAAGCGGGAAACUCGCCUGAAGAUGAGGAUUCCCUGGAGACUUGAUCUCCCUGAAGGGUCGUUCGAGACCAGGACGUUGAUAGGCUGGGUGUGGAAGCGCAGUAAUGCGUUCAGCUAACCAGUACUAAUUGCCCGUGCGGCUUGAUCCU
rnacentral:rRNA from 1 species